rnacentral:lncRNA from 1 species
GUGCAUGUGAUGUGUCCCAUCUCCCCUUCGGACUGGAAGAAGAAGCUGUGUCCCUCCCAUCAGACAGAGGGUCUCCUUAAAAGAUUCUCCUGGUCUCCAGCUUGGGCUCUGCUGGAAAGAAGAGGAUGUAUUUAGCAAGGGUGAAGAAUAUGAAUAUCCAGCAUUCCACAAAGAAUCCUACAGGCAGGGAUAUUGCCCAAUCACCAGUGCCUCACAUCCCAGUUCUAUCCAAGAUCCAAGCUUGAUAUCCUCCUGAAAGACUUCCUGAAUCAGGUCACCAACAUGGACAUCUGAACUUCCAGAAUCAGGUCACCGUCUUUCUUCUCAUCUCUGGAUGUAUUUGGAGCUCAUUUGUCUGACGGUUUUUGAAUGCUA